rnacentral:lncRNA from 1 species
AGCACUAACAACAACAACAACAAAAAAAACUAUUUACUCUUCCAGGAGAAAGUUUAUGCACCAAAGAAGGUCAAUAUACUAAGUGGCUCAAGCUACUUACUCUUAGUCCCGCCUUUCAUUUCACUCAAAAGCUGAAUCAUUUAAGCAGUGCAAUGCUUUUGCUGAGGAAGUCUCCACUUGAGCUCCCUUUGUUGCUUUCUGUUCAUGGUUGCAGUGAGGAAUCAGUGACUAUUGCCCAAAUGGAAUUUCCACAAUCUCAGGGUAGAGUCCAGACCCUUAGACUCAAGGCCCAUGACUCUUAGAUCACAACACUAUUGAUAGCCCAUGUCCAACCUGAGAGGCAUUAUGCUCCCCUCCCGAAAUUCAUGUGGGGAAACCCUCGUCCUCAGUGGCACUGUUCUUGGAGACACAGCAUUAACAAGGUAAUUGGGAUUAUAUGAGGUCAUAAAGGUGAGGCCCUAGUCCAGUGUGUCCUCAGAAGAAGAAAGACACCAGGAUGUGUGCACAGAGAACAACUUUGUGAGAACACGGCGAGAAGGCGGCCAUCUGCGAGACAAGGAGAGAGAAGCUCCAGGAGAAACCAAACCUACUGACAUUUUGGUUGUGGGCUUCCAGCUUCCAAAACUGAGAAAAUAAAUUUCUUUUUUUUUUUUUAAAGCCAUCCAGUCUGUGGUAUAUUGCUAUGGCAGACUUAGAAAACCAAUAAAAUAAAUACUUGGCUGUUGCAUAGAAAAUUAUUACCCUGCAUGAAAUAUCAGAAUCAGUAAGUCCGUCCAGACACCAGAUGCGUGGAGGGCAAGUUUUCAAGGACCUGGAUCAAAUAAAGAAAAGUGAUGAUACUGGAUGCAAUAACAAACUGUUCAUGAGUUUCCAGAGUGACAAACUAAAUGCUGACUAAAUACACAGAAUUAGCCUUUGAAACUGUUGGAGCGCGCCCAGUAGCAGCCCAGGGGUGGCCGCGCAGGAGCCUCCCUGUCCCUGCUGCGGAACCGCAGCAAAUUCGGGUAGCCCGGGGGCCGCGAGCUUCAGCCUCCGUCUCUCUGAGGCUCAAAGCAAAUGUUGAGAGAGCAGGUGGAAAACAGUCCCGAGGGAACAGCAAACACCUAGAGGACCUGCGGGGGGGGCGUGGAGGGUCAGCUGUUACCUCCCUAAAUUUCAAGUGAAAUGGGAUAAAUGAGUGUGACAAAGGAAAAAAUGUCUUCUAGGAAUUGUCAUAUGUAAACAACGUGGAGCUUAUCAUAUUCCCUGGGACGUCAGGGUGGAAUGGGAAGCCUCGGGCCCUUUCCUCCCCUCCCACACCCACGGACAGACCCAUUC